rnacentral:rRNA from 1 species
CUAAACCUACGGGACGCAGCAGUGGGGAAUAUUGCACAAUGGGGGAAACCCUGAUGCAGCGACGCCGCGUGAGCGAAGAAGUAUUUCGGUAUGUAAAGCUCUAUCAGCAGGGAAGAAAAAUGACGGUACCUGAGUAAGAAGCACCGGCUAACUACGUGCCAGCAGCCGCGGUAAUACGUAGGGGGCAAGCGUUAUCCGGAUUUACUGGGUGUAAAGGGAGCGUAGACGGAGGAGCAAGUCUGAUGUGAAAAUCCGGGGCCCAACCCCGGAACU